rnacentral:tRNA from 1 species
CGCGGGGUAGAGCAGUUGGUAGCUCGUCGGGCUCAUAACCCGGAGGUCGGAUGGUUCGAGUCCUCCCCCCGCUA